rnacentral:rRNA from 1 species
UACGUAGGGUGCGAGCGUUAAUCGGAAUUACUGGGCGUAAAGCGUGCGCAGGCGGCUUUGCAAGACAGAUGUGAAAUCCCCGGGCUCAACCUGGGAACUGCAUUUGUGACUGCAAGGCUAGAGUACGGCAGAGGGGGAUGGAAUUCCGCGUGUAGCAGUGAAAUGCGUAGAUAUGCGGAGGAACACCAAUGGCGAAGGCAAUCCCCUGGGCCUGUACUGACGCUCUUGCACGAAAGCGUGGGGAGCAAACAGG